rfam:Beta vulgaris subsp. vulgaris Bvchr5.sca022.con0085.1, whole genome shotgun sequence.
GAGAAAGCGGUGAUGAUUUGAAAACUACCUAUUUUCUGAGAGCAUUGUUUGUUUCUUUGAUUAUAGAUAACCAAUGGAUCCUUCUGAGCUUUCU